rnacentral:rRNA from 1 species
AAUGGUAACAGGAAACAGCUUGCUGUUUCGCUGACGAGUGGCGGACGGGUGAGUAAUGUCUGGGAAACUGCCUGAUGGAGGGGGAUAACUACUGGAAACGGUAGCUAAUACCGCAUAACGUCGCAAGACCAAAGAGGGGGACCUUCGGGCCUCUUGCCAUCAGAUGUGCCCAGAUGGGAUUAGCUAGUAGGUGGGGUAACGGCUCACCUAGGCGACGAUCCCUAGCUGGUCUGAGAGGAUGACCAGCCACACUGGAACUGAGACACGGUCCAGACUCCUACGGGAGGCAGCAGUGGGGAAUAUUGCACAAUGGGCGCAAGCCUGAUGCAGCCAUGCCGCGUGUAUGAAGAAGGCCUUCGGGUUGUAAAGUACUUUCAGCGGGGAGGAAGGGAGUAAAGUUAAUACCUUUGCUCAUUGACGUUACCCGCAGAAGAAGCACCGGCUAACUCCGUGCCAGCAGCCGCGGUAAUACGGAGGGUGCAAGCGUUAAUCGGAAUUACUGGGCGUAAAGCGCACGCAGGCGGUUUGUUAAGUCAGAUGUGAAAUCCCCGGGCUCAACCUGGGAACUGCAUCUGAUACUGGCAAGCUUGAGUCUCGUAGAGGGGGGUAGAAUUCCAGGUGUAGCGGUGAAAUGCGUAGAGAUCUGGAGGAAU